rnacentral:ncRNA from 1 species
UGCCCUUUCCGUUUGGGGUAAUCCUACUGAGAUAUGCGUCAGUGGUAACGCUGGGGUGUAAAGCUCUCAGGACAAUAUGGAGAAAUUUGAAAGACUCAUUCAAACAAUCUG